AUUGAACGCUAGCGGGAUGCCUUACACAUGCAAGUCGAACGGAGUGGCGAACGGGUGAGUAAUGUAUAGGAACGUGCCCAGGAGCGGGGGAUAACUACGAGAAAGCGUAGCUAAUACCGCAUACGAUUGGAGCGGCCGAAAUCGGAGUAGCUAGGUGGUGGGGUAACGGCACACCAAGGAGACGAUCCUUAGCUGGUUUGAGAGGACGACCAGCCACACUGGGCCUGAGCCACGGCCCAGACUCCUCCGGGAGGCAGCAGUGGGGAAUUUUGGACAAUGGGUGAAACCCUGAUCCAGCCCUCCCGCGUGUUCGAUGAAGGCCUUCGGGUUUUAAAGCACUUUUGGCAGGAAAGCGGUACCUGCAGAAUAAGCACCGGCUAACUACGUGCCAGCCGCCGCGGUAAUAC
rnacentral:rRNA from 1 species